GACGAACGCUGGCGGCGUGCCUAAUACAUGCAAGUAGGACGCAGUUGCGAACGGGUGAGUAACGCGUAGGUAACUGCCUAUUAGAGGGGGAUAACUAUUGGAAACGAUAGCUAAUACCGCAUACUAGUAGAUGGACCUGCGUUGUAUUAGCUAGUAGGUAGGGUAAUGGUCUACCUAGGCGACGAUACAUAGCCGACCUGGGCGGGUGAUCGGACACACUGAGAAUGAGACACGGACAAGACACCUACGGGAGGCAGCAGUAGGGAAUCUUCGGCAAUGGGAGGAACCCUGACCGAGAAACGCCGCGUGAGUGACGAAGGUUGUCGGAUCGUAAAGCUCUGUUGUUAAGGAAGCGUUACUUAACCAGAAAGGGACGGCUAACUACGUGCCAGCAGCCGCGGUAAUAC
rnacentral:rRNA from 1 species